UCCAAGUGAAGCAGAGGACAGUGGCGGACGGGUGAGUAACGCGUGAGGAACCUGCCUUUCAGAGGGGGACAACAGUUGGAAACGACUGCUAAUACCGCAUAAGCCCACAGCUCGGCAUCGAGCAGAGGGAAAAGGAGUGAUCCGCUUUGAGAUGGCCUCGCGUCUGAUUAGAUAGUUGGUGAGGUAACGGCCCACCAAGGCGACGAUCAGUAGCCGGACUGAGAGGUUGACCGGCCACAUUGGGACUGAGAUACGGCCCAGACUCC
rnacentral:rRNA from 1 species